rnacentral:rRNA from 1 species
UACGGAGGGUGCAAGCGUUAUCCGGAUUCACUGGGUUUAAAGGGUGCGUAGGUGGGUCUGAAAGUCAGUGGUGAAUCUCCGGCUCACCGGAAACUGCCAUUGAUACUACAGUCUUGAAUUUCUGUAGGAUAGCGGAAUAUGUCAUGUAGCGGUGAAAUGCUUAGAUAUGACAUAGAACACCAAUUGCGAAGGCAGCUAUCUACAGGAUAUUGACACUGAGGCACGAAAGCGUGGGAUCAAACAGG